CCUCAUAAGCCCAGGCUAGACCAGUGCUGUCCAAAGAAAGAAGGAAAGUCCAAGGAGACCAACAUCCACAAAUUUUAAUUUUCUAGAACCUUCAUCCAAAAUGUUAAAUGAAACAGCUGCUCAGAUUUCUUCUCUCCACUGGCCAGCAUCCUCUCCUUCCUGCUGGUUCACCAUGACUUCCCCAUCCUCCCGACUGACGGACCUCACGAUAAACUGUGACAACCUUCUGAUAACCAGCUUGAGUGCUCCAGAUUUCCCAAUUCCCCAUUCCCAGCAGAGGGGUUUUCCAGCUGAGCUCAUCCGUCUGACCCUAUCCUCAACUUGGUACUGACUUUGAUCCACACAACCGCACCUACACUAACAGUAAUGUAUGCAAAAGGAAGAGAAAGUAUGAUUCGGCAUAAGUGUUCAAUCAGUGGAAGGAGAAGGCUUGGGAGCCUUCUGGAGUUCUAAGGAAGCCAUCCUGGUUCAGCUACUUAGCACAACAGAUCAAUCUAAAACGCUCACUUUACCAGUAUCUAAUAACCACUGUGUGUUUGUUCUGAGGAUAGAA